GACGAACGCUGGCGGCGUGCCUAAUACAUGCAAGUCGAACGCAGUGGGGACGGGUGAGUAAAACGUGGGUAACCUCCCAUCAGAGGGGAUAACACUUGGAAACAGGUGCUAAACCGAUACUGAUGGAUGGAGCCGCGGUGCAUUAGCUAGUUGGGGGGGGAACGGCUCACCAAGGCCACGAUGCAUAGCCGACCUGAGAGGGGGUUCGGACACACUGGGACUGAGACACGGGCCAGACUCCUACGGGAGGCAGAAGUAGGGAAUCUUCGGCAAUGGACGAAAGUCUGACCUAGCAACGCCGCGUGAGUGAAGAAGGUUUUCGGAUCGUAAAACGCUGUUGUUAGAGAAGCGGGAUAUAACCAGAAAGCCAAGGGUAACUACGUGCCAGCAGCCGCGGUAAUAC
rnacentral:rRNA from 1 species